AAGAAAAGGACAUUCGUUACAGUUAAAAAGA
rnacentral:piRNA from 1 species